UAUCUAGUUAAUUCUACUAGUAGUUAUAUACUUAUCUUAAAGAUUAAGCUAUACAUAUCUAAGUAUAAGCAAUUAUAUAGUAAAACUAUAAAUAGCUUAUUAUAUAAGUUAUUAUUUAUUUAAUAGUACCUUACUACUUAGAUAACUAUAGUAAUUCUAGAGCUAAUAUAUACUAAAAAUCCUAACUUUAGAAGGGAUAUAUUUAUUAGAUUAAAAACCAAUACCCUUUAGGCUCCUUAGUAAUUUAUAAUAACUUUUUAAAUUGCACAGCCUUGCACUAGUAAUAGUUUAUUUAAAUUUCUUCCUUAUUAACUUUUAAUGUUUAGGUCUUAGCUAAACAUAGUCGUAAUAGGUAACAAAGGGUUAAGGCUCAACCCUAGAGAAGGAGCCUAAGAAAUGGCUACUAUAUCUAAGGAAGGCAGUAGGCAUGCAAAUUACCUAAUCCCGAUUUAGGAAGGUAGUAAUAAUAAAUACUAAUAUAGGGCUCUUUUAGGUCUUAUAAUUAGAAUAAGUAUAAUUUAAAUCUCUUAAUAAGGAAUAAUUAGAGGGCAAGUCUAGUGCUAGUAGCUAUAGUAAUUCUAGCUCUAAUAGUGUAUAUUAAAGUUAUUAUAGUUAAAAAGCUUGUAGUUAAACCUUAGGCCUAGCUAGCUAGUCCGCCUUACUGUGUGUACUAGUCUGGCUAGGCCUUUCCCUCUAUAGAACCCUAUACUCUUUACUAAGUAUGGUAGUAAAAUAGGACUUUUACUUUAAAAAAAUUAAAGUACUCUAGGUAGGCCUAUACUUAAAUAUAUUAGUAUAGAAUAAUAAAAUAGGACGCGUAGUUCUAUUUUAUUGGUUUCUAGGACCACUAUAAUAAUUAAUAAGGAUAGUUAGGGGCAUUAGUAUUUAAUUAUUAGAGGUGAAAUUCUUAGAUUUAUUAAAGACUAACUACUAUAAAAGCAUUUACUAAGAAUAUUUUUAUUAAUUAGGAAUAAAAGUUAGGGGAUUAAAGACAAUUAGAUACUAUUAUAGUCUUAACUAUAAACUAUACUAACUAGGGAUUAGAUAAUAUUAUUUUUUAAUGUAUUUAGCACCUUAUGAGAAAUUAAAGUGCUUAGGCUCUAGGGGGAGUAUAGUUGUAAGGCUAAAACUUAAAGAAAUUAAUAGAAGGGCACUACUAGGGGUAAACUGCUUUACAUAGCCAUAGUAGCUCUACCCUAGAAAGCAGCCUAAAAGGGUUAGUAGUGUUCCUACUAGCGCUCUAGUGUGGCGAACUAAUUGCUAGUCUCCUCUAGAGGUAAUACCCUUAAAUUGCAAGAAAAUCCUAAAGCUAGUAUUACUAAGCUAGCACUAAAAGGGCGUUAGUAGCUAGGGUAGUGACCUAGGGUAUAGUAAAAGUACACUAGAUAAUGCAAUAGACAAUCCGCAGCUAAGCCUUGUUGCUAUAGGGCACGGGGAAGGUUUAGAGACUACAUAGGGGUAGGUAGUGUACUAUCUAGGGGCUCUAGCCCCUAAGCGCCCGCUUAUAACAUUACUUAAGAUAUAGUCUAGCUAUGCUAGAAAUAGCAUAGGCUAGUAAACCUAGAAAUAGGAGCCUAUAGCUUAAUUUAACUUAAUAUAGGGAAACUUACUAGGUCUAGAUAUAAUAAGGAUUAAUAGAUUAAGAGCUCUUUCUUAAUUUUAUAGGUAGUAGUGUAUAGCUAUUCUUAGUUAGUAAAGUAAUUUAUCUACUUAAUUAUAAUAAUAAACAAGACCUUAACCUACUAAAUAGCCUAUAUUGCUUUAGCAGUAUGCUAGCUUCUUAAAGGGACUAUUAGCUUAAGCUAAUAGAAGUUUAAAGUAAUAAUAAGUUAACCUAUAUAGGCCUAUAAUAGUAGUCCUUAUUAAAAUAUCUACUAGUCUAUAUAAUGUCUUUAUUAGGGCAGUCCCCUUCUAUUAGGUAGAGAGGAUUUAAAAGAGUCCUAGUUAUAAGCAACACCACCUAGUAUAGGGAACACUAACCUAGGCAUAUUAGUAAUAAUAUACUAGAGGCCAAUCCUAUAGCGAGCUUAGGUCAUGCUAAGCCAUUAUAACGUAUAGAAAGGGGUAAGCUAGCAUAACCUACUAGCUUAAGGUAUAUACUAAUCCUAUAGGAAACUAUGCCUAUACAGCAAGGCCUAAUAGGCUAAUCUACAUAGGGGUAGGCUAUAGGCCUACUAGCAUUGCCUAUAUAUAUAGGUAGACAAACAAAUACUAUAAUGCCUUUAGAUAUUCUAAGCUAUACGCGCGCUAUACUAACAGAGCUAGUAAGUACUUCCUUAGUUAAAAGGCUUAGGUAAUCUUAUUAAACUCUAUUAUGCUAGGGAUAGAGUAUUGUAAUUAUUACUCUUUAAUAAGGAAUCCCUAGUAAGUAUAAGUUAUUAGCUUGUAUUAAUUAUAUUCCUACCCUUUAUAUACACUGCUUAUUAUUACUACUAAUUGAAUAGCUUAGUAAGGUGUCUAGACUAGCCUAGGGAGGUAGGCAACUACCCCCCUAGGCUAGGAAGCUCUCUAAACUUAGUUAUUUAGAAGAAGUAAAAGUCGUAAUAAGGUCUCUAUUAGUGAACUAGCGGAGGGAUUAUUA
rfam:Cordyceps militaris CM01 unplaced genomic scaffold CCM_S00004, whole genome shotgun sequence.